GGCUCGGUGGUGAAAUUGGUAGACACGCAGCACUUAAAAUGCUGUGCUCUUACGAGCAUGUGGGUUCGAUUCCCGCCCGGGCCAC
rnacentral:tRNA from 15 species